rnacentral:rRNA from 1 species
AACGAACGCUGGCGGCAUGCCUAACACAUGCAAGUCGAACGAGACCUUCGGGUCUAGUGGCGCACGGGUGCGUAACGCGUGGGAACCUGCCCUUAGGUUCGGAAUAACUCCCCGAAAGGGGUGCUAAUACCGGAUAAUGUCUUCGGACCAAAGAUUUAUCGCCUUUGGAUGGGCCCGCGUUGGAUUGGCCAGUUGGUAGUGUAAAAGCCUACCAAGGCGACGAUCCAUAGCUGGUCUGAGAGGAGGAUCAGCCACACUGGAACUGAGACACGGCCCAGACUGCGACGGAGGGCAGCGGUAGGGAAUAUUAGACGAGGGGCGAAAGCCUAGUCAAGCAAUGCCGGGUGAGUGAGGAAGGGCUUAGUAUUGUGAAUCUCUUUUACCCGAGAUGAUAAUGACAGUACCGGGUGAAUAAGCACCGGCUAACUCCGUG